rnacentral:rRNA from 1 species
UACGAAGGGGGCUAGCGUUGUUCGGAAUUACUGGGCGUAAAGCGCGCGCAGGCGGCUAUCCAAGUCAGUGGUGAAAGCCCGGAGCUCAACUCCGGAACUGCCAUUGAAACUGUUUAGCUUGAGGAUGAGAGAGGUGAGUGGAAUUCCCAGUGUAGAGGUGAAAUUCGUAGAUAUUGGGAAGAACACCGGUGGCGAAGGCGGCUCACUGGCUCAUUACUGACGCUCAGGCGCGAUAGCGUGGGGAUCAAACAG